rnacentral:rRNA from 1 species
GAUGAACGCUGGCGGCGUGCCUAAUACAUGCAAGUCGAGCGAACAGAUAAGGAGCUUGCUCCUUUGACGUUAGCGGCGGACGGGUGAGUAACACGUGGAUAACCUACCUAUAAGACUGUGAUAACUUCGGGAAACCGGAGCUAAUACCGGAUAACAUAUUGAACCGCAUGGUUCAAUAGUGAAAGGCGGCUUUGCUGUCACUUAUAGAUGGAUCCGCGCCGUAUUAGCUAGUUGGUAAGGUAAAGGCUUACCAAGGCAAAGAUACGUAGCCGAACCGAGAGGGUGAUCGGCCACACUGGAACUGAGACACGGUCCAAACUCCUACGGGAGGCAGCAGUAGGGAAUCUUCCGAAAUGGGCGAAAGCCUGACGGAGCAACGCCGCGUGAGUGAUGAAGGUCUUCGGAUCGUAAAACUCUGUUAUCAGGGAAGAACAAAUGUGUAAGUAACUGUGCACAUCUUGACGGUACCUGAUCAGAAAGCCACGGCUAACUACGUGCCAGCCGCCGCCGUAA